CUAAAUGAAAUAACUUCAAUGAAAUUAUAUCUAACAAUAUAGUUUAUAUUAUAUUAAAAUAUAUCAAAUAGUUUUAAGGGUUAAACUUAAUGCUCUACUAAAGGGGUGCUCCUAUGUAAAUGAUGCUUGUAAACAAAAGAAUUUGUUAUUUGUUCAUUUAUAUGUCUUACUUAGUCAGGACUUUAUGCAGUAAAUAUCAUUUUAAAAAUGAAUUGAGUCAGUAAAGUCGGGAUGCUGAUUAUGCUAAGAAACAUUGGAUAUUGGUCUAUAAUAGACUAUUGAAUGGGGAAACCAGCAUGUACUAUUUGCACAUGGAUAACUAUUCUUCGUGACGAUAUCCGUGACCGGAGGUCGGUUUUUUAAAACGCUUGAAAGAUUCAGAUGAAUGAUGCAAAUUGAAGACGCCGGUAACCAACUGACAACAACUUGAACAAGUACUUGUUUCUGUUUAUUUAACGAGACAAACACAAUCAAGGAGUUAUGAACGCAAAGAAACUCGAGGAAAUAAAACAGCAGUACAUUGUAUUACAACAAAUGGUCAGAGGAGUUGACUGAUAAUGGACUGGAGUAACCUAGGGUCCAAUGAUUCUGAACAUGCAUGACAGUACUGGCAUGUGUACAUGUAUGUCGACAGCCAAUUCUAAGUAACCUUAAACGUAUACAUUGUAUAUACAAAAGACCUACAAUAAAGAAUUAGCUCCUCAGAUUUCAGUGGAAUGGAAGUAAUACACAUGAUAUGUUUCAAUGAAAUUAAUAUGAUUAAUGAUGGGAUAAGACGUAGAGGAGAUCCUAUAUCUACAGUACAUGUAUAUGUAACUGCAAAUGUAUUCCAAGAGUUUAUGGCUGAUUAUGCAACUACAGGAUUUUAUCAUGGAAGCAACAUCUUAGAAGGAUAAGUGCAAAUGUAUGAAGGAAGCCUUGUGUAUAAAUACAUGUAGCAAUUACAUGCAGGAGAGAACACUUAAACAUUACUAACAUGUAGUCAUGAUAUGGGAGUGGUGCAUUCUAGAAAUCUAAACACCUGGAAUUAAAUAUUGUGUAUAUUUUUUUUCAACUACAAGUACUUUCAGCAUAUCAUACAAUUCUAAUUCAAAUUAUUGUGUCAACAUGACAGUUACUGUCUAAAAAUGGAAAAUACUUGUUUUAAAAUGAAUUUUUUAUAAAUAUAUAAAUAACAAGAAUUUUUAGCUUAUUGUGAAGCCAAACUUUGAGAUCUUUUAAUGGUAUAUGCCUGUUGUUUGUCACCUUUUAUUUUCUUUUUGACUUAACCUUAACAUCAGUGGUAAAAUGAAAAACUGAAAACCAUAUAUGAAAUAAGAAAGAAAUGGUUGUAAAAAACAGCAAGACUUUCAAUAUGGUAUAUCAAAUAUAUUUCACAGAACUUUCUAUUUCAGUUUAUUAAUACAAUGAGGUUUGAGGUAUAAAUCAAUCAGACAGUAACACAACAACAAAAACACCUGAAAAGUCCUCAACAAUAGACAGGUGUCUAAACAAUAUGUCAUGAUCUGUUUUAAUUGACCAGAGUACAUGAGUAUGUGGCAGGGUGAACUACCUUUUUUCUUCAAAACUCUCAUAAGAAGAAUUGGCAUCUUUUGCAAGUAAUACUUGUCCAUAAUGUGAUUGGAAUGUCUCAAAACUGAUGAACACAAAAAGACUUAUACAUACAUAUUAAAAAUGAAAUAUACAUCAGUGCAUACAUCUUCUAUAAAUAAAUCACCUUCCAUACAUCAAAUUAACAAAAAUAUUGAGACUUGAACACAACCAAAAAUGUUCUAGGAGUGAACUAUGGUGCCCUGGAUAUUUGCUUGCCUU